AUGAUACAGUGCUAUGAGUGUAAUUUUCUAUCAACUUCUCUCUCAUCUCAAAAUACAUUUUUUUCUUCGAAAAGAGCUCAAAAUACAAAGACCGUCUUUUCCUUGUUUAAACUUUACUGGUAUUGUCGUGCGUGUAUUAGCUAUGAAGUUUGUUCUCAAACAAUAUGUAAUAUUUUUGUGUUGCAACCAUUUUUGGAGAGUUUAUCUAUAUGCCCAAAGCAUGUACUUCACAACCCACUUGGAGCUCCAGAGAGGCAGGGGAGCGUCACCAGGGAGACGGAAAUGUAUUGUGGGAAAAAGGACAGAGAUCCCCGAGCAUUUGCGACAGGGGAUGGAGCGGCGGCUGCGUCGACCCGACAAGUUGCAAGUGGAUGGAGCGGUGGCUGCGCGGACAUGCUACUGGAGGUGCCGGUAUGCACCCUCAUUUUGAUCCUAGGAGGAUCCUCGCCCUGUCCUGGCCUCAAGGGUGCUCAUCUACUUGGUAUCGUGCUCUGCAGUCAGAACGAUGCGCUAAUGCAGGUUUGA
rnacentral:rRNA from 1 species